UACGGAGGGUGCAAGCGUUAAUCGGAAUUACUGGGCGUAAAGCGCACGCAGGCGGUCGGAUAAGUUAGAUGUGAAAGCCCCGGGCUCAACCUGGGAAUUGCAUUUAAAACUGUCCAGCUAGAGUCUUGUAGAGGGGGGUAGAAUUCCAGGUGUAGCGGUGAAAUGCGUAGAGAUCUGGAGGAAUACCAAUGGCGAAGGCAGCCCCCUGGGAUAAUAUUGACGCUCAUGCACGAAAGCGUGGGGAGCAAACAGG
rnacentral:rRNA from 1 species